rnacentral:rRNA from 1 species
AACGAACGCUGGCGGCAUGGAUUAGGCAUGCAAGUUGAACGAACCACUUUGGUGGUGAGUAGCGGUAGGGUGAGGAACGCGUGAGUAAUCUGCCCCCAAGUUGGGAAUAACAGUUGGAAACGACUGCUAAUACCGAAUGUGGCUAUGACUUCGCAUGAAGUCAUGGCUAAAGAUUUAUCGCUUGGGGAUGAGCUCGCGUCCCAUUAGCUAGUUGGAGAGGUAACGGCUCACCAAGGCGACGAUGGGUAAGCUGGUCUGAGAGGAUGGGUCAGCCACACUGGGACUGAGACACUGCCCCAGACUCCUACGGGAGGCUGCAGUCGAGAAUCUUGGGCAA